ACAGGUGGUGCAUGGUUGUCGUCAGCUCGUGUCGUGAGAUGUUGGGUUAAGUCCCGCAACCGAGCGCAACCCCUACGUUUAGUUGCUAACAGGUGAAGCUGAGCACUCUAGACGAACUGCCGUUGACAAAACGGAGGAAGGUGGGGAUGACGUCAAAUCAUCAUGCCCCUUAUGUUCUGGGCUACACACGUGCUACAAUGGCCGGUACAGACGGAGGCGAAGCCGCGAGGCGGAGCAAAUCCGAAAAAGCCGGUCUCAGUUCGGAUUGCAGGCUGCAAUUCGCCUGCAUGAAGUCGGAAUCGCUAGUAAUCGCAGGUCAGCAUACUGCGGUGAAUACGUUCCCGGGCCUU
rnacentral:rRNA from 1 species